rnacentral:rRNA from 1 species
ACGGAAGGCAGCAGUGGGGAAUAUUGGGCAAUGGGCGAAAGCCUGACCCAGCGACGCCGCGUGAAGGAAGAAGGUCUUCGGAUUGUAAACUUCUUUUAUGAGGGACGAAGACCGUGACGGUACCUCAUGAAUAAGCCACGGCUAACUACGUGCCAGCAGCCGCGGUAAUACGUAGGUGGCAAGCGUUAUCCGGAUUUACUGGGUGUAAAGGGUGUGUAGGCGGGGAUGCAAGUCAGAUGUGAAAUCUAUGGGCUCAACUCAUAAACUGCAUUUGAAACUGUGGAUCUUGAGUGCUGGAGAGGUAGACGGAAUUCCUUGUGUAGCGGUGAAAUGCGUAGAUAUAAGGAAGAACACCAGUGGCGAAGGCGGUCUACUGGACAGUAACUGACGCUGAGGCGCGAAAGCGUGGGGAGCAAACAGGAUUAGAUACCCUGGUA